GGAAUAAGAAACUGUUUCUUAACUUUUAACUAAAAAAGCUAAGAACCAGUUUUUAAAUCGGUUCUUAAAACCGGUUCUUAGCUUUUUUUAGUUAAAAGUUAAGAAACAGUUUCUUAACUUCC
rfam:Brassica oleracea var. oleracea cultivar TO1000 chromosome C1, whole genome shotgun sequence